UUGGACGACUCUUACUGCAAGACUUGCAAAAAUCCUCUGUUCACUGUGAAGAUAAACACUAAAAAUACACCUACCUUAAUCUGCUUACAGGUUGUGCGCCGCUCGAUGGGCCACGCACACACGGCGAGGGAGCCUUAAGAGCAACCUAAUACCUGACGGCUUCAUCAUCUCCAGAGUCUGUGCUUAUGGUUUCCCGCCUGGAGGGGCUGUGCAGCCUGGACUGUUUGGCUGAGCCCCUGGACGAGAUGUCAACCCGCCUCAACCUCAACAGCCUGGGCAGGAUUUGCGGCAACAGCCGCGGCAACAGCCGCGGCAGCGACAUGGUGAUUGUGGACCGGGUCAAGAGGAAGAACUCGGUCAGGCGCAUGUCGAUCAUCGAGGAUGGACAAAUAGCCGAGAUUCUCUACCUGAUCCCCAAGAACUGCAUGAUGGAGCAGCUGCCUUUUCUAAACCCCAACGACUAUGUUCUGUGUGAGAAGCUGGCGGCCAUACCUGCGGAUGUGUCAGUGCUUCACACCCGGAGCGAUCGUCAGCCUCAUACCCCUGCAGUCAAGAAGGUCAUCAGAUGCAUGAAAUGUGGGGAGGUCUGCAAAGGGGAGGUCCUGCGAGUCCAGUCAAGUCACUUCCACAUCAGAUGCUUCACCUGCAAGGUGUGUGGCUGCGACUUGGCGCGCUCCGGCUUCUUCUUGAAGAACGGAGACUCUCUCUGUCCGCUGGACUACCAGAGACUUCAUGGCACCCUCUGCAACAGCUGCGGGGGAUUUGUGGAGGGAGAGGUGGUUUCCGUCUUGGGCAAGACGUACCACCCCGCUUGCUUUGUGUGCACCAUUUGCAAGAAACCAUUUCCGGCUGGUGAUUGUGUCACCUUCAGUGGGAAAGAUUGCAUCUGCCAACGGUGUGUUAGCCCUUUGUCUCCUCCCCCUACUGGUAUCAGAUAUUCUAACAACUGCAACGGCUGCGGCCGAGACAUCAAGAACGGCCAGGCUUUGUUGGCGUUGGGGAGCCAGUGGCACCUUGGCUGCUUCAAGUGCAACAUCUGCCAAAGAAUGCUCAGUGGAGAAUACAUCAGCAAGGAUGGUGUCCCAUAUUGUGAGAGAGACUACCAGAUUCAGUUCGGCGUGCAAUGUGAAGCGUGUCAGAAGUUUAUAACGGGCAAAGUCCUGGAGGCAGGGGACAAACACUAUCACCCGGAAUGUGCAAGAUGCAGCCGAUGUGAUAUAACGUUCACAGAGGGAGAAGAACUGUAUCUGCAAGGAUCAACAGUGUGGCACCCACACUGCAGAGAAAGAAGCAGAAACAAUGACAAUUACAGGGUUAGAAGAGCCAAAGCACCUUGUCUUGAUUUCUUUUACCCCCCGAGUGAACUUAAGUCAACUCUAUCGUCAUCUGAAAGCUCCUGCUCCAGACCAAACUCCUGUAUACCUGGAAGCCCCAGUCGCAACAUAUGUGCUAAAGUAGAUGAUGAGAUCAUUGAUUACCGAGACUUAGCAGCAAUUCCCAGAGUCAAGGCUAUUUAUGACAUAGAGCAUCCUGAUAUGAUGUCCUAUAAGAGUGACGUCCUCAGCUCGGACGGCAAAGGCACCACACAACCUCAGGACAGACAGAGUUCUGCACAGUCUCCAGCAAAUGUAUCAGAGACCACAGAGGAGAGCUUUGAGAUGAGAAAGAGCAUUCCCAAGUCGGCAAGUCACGGAUCGUUCGGUGUUCAGUCCUACAGUCAUCACAGCUACACGCCCAUCCGAUCCCCUCAGCACUUCCACCGGCCCGGCCCUUUAUUUUCUGUCAACGACACCUUGCUCUCCCUCUCUUCCCAUCACCCUGACAACAAAGAUCAAGGUUUCAACAUGUACAAAAGGCCUCCAAUUUACAAACAGCAAGAUCCAAAUUCCUCCCAUACAUCCUCUUUGCCUGGAUAUGGCUGCAAUGGCCUCAAUCCGCCACAAUCAGCAAGCAGUGGUGACACGUUUAGAGCUGCUCCAUGAGAGCCCACAUCCAUUUGCACGAAUAGACAGAGGAGUGUCAUUACCUAACUUGCUGGAGCCAAAAGUGUAUCCAUAUGAGAUGCUCACGGUUACCAGCAGGGGGCGUGUGAAGCUUCCAAGAGAGGUUGACAGAACAAGACUUGAGCGUCACCUGUCUCCUGACUCCUUCUUUGAAAUAUUUGGCAUGGCGAAACAACAAUUUGAUAGACUUCCACUUUGGAAACGUAACGACAUGAAGAAAAAAGCCAAUCUUUUCUAAAUGCGUGUUUUAUGAAUGUAUAUUUAUUUAUUUGCACUUGGAUCAGAAAUUAUUCAUAUCUUUUUUUUUGCCUAAAAAUUAUUUAUUACAACGAUUACAGGCCGUUUUAUUCACGGUGAACAUCUCGACUGUCUAUUUUGGGGAUUAGCAACAGUCUUUUCCUUUCCAGUCGUCCCUCGUCACAUCGCGCUUCAAAUAUUGCGGCUUCACAACGUCGCAGAUUUUUUGGGGGAUAUUUAAAAAUAUUUUUUAAUACAAGUACAAAACCCAAAACCAGGGAAGUUGGCACAUUGUGUAAUUUGUAAAUAAAAACAGAAUACAAUGAUUUGCUUGUCAACUUGUAUUCAAUUAAAUAGAUUGCAAAGACAAGAUAUUUAAUGUUGAAACUGAGAACCUUUUUUUUUUUUUUUGCAAAUAAUCAUUAACUUCGAAUUUAAUGGCAGCAACACAUUUGUUCAUUUCACGGACCGCAGAUGGGGAAAUCCCUAAAUUCCUUGCAAUGUUUCAUUGCGAAAUGUUGUUCUUAAACUGUUGGACAAUUUGCUCAUGCAUUUGUUCACAAAGUGGUGACCCUCGCCCCGUCCUUGUUUUUCAUGGAAGCUGCUUUUAUACCCAAUCGUGGCACCCACCUGCUCCCAAUUAGCCUGUUCACCUGUGGGAUGUUCCAAAUUAGUGUUUGAUGAGCAUUCCUCAGCUUUCUCAGUCUUUUUUGCCACUUGUGCCAGCUUUUUUUAAACAUGUUGCAGGCAUCAAAUUCCAAAUGAACUAAUAUUGGCAAAAAAUAAACUUUUCCAGUUCGAACGUUAAGUAUCUUGUCUUUGCAGUCUAUUCAAUUGAAUAUAGGUUGAAAAGGAUUUGCAAAUCAUUGAAUUCUGUUUUUAUUUACCAUUUACACAAAGUGCCAACUUCACUGGUUUGGGUUUUUUUAUAUUAAAAAAUGUUAAUCAUAAAUCAAGCAUUUUCAAGCUUAAAAAUGACUAAAUAAACUAAUAUCUUUACAACAAUAUAGUUGACCACGAGAUGAGACCAAACCAAUCAGAGCGUGCUGUUCAGUAUCGUGAGCACUGAUUGGCUCAGCCUCAGACAGCAUUACUAUAUUGCAAUUAAAGUGUCUAAAAGGUGACUAAAGAAUGUCAUUUAAUGUAAAAACAAA